AAAAUAGGCUAGAGGAGACACAGCUGAAAUUAGCUCGUCUUCGGGGCCGAGAGAACAUAGCAGCAUCCACAAGCUCCCGUGGGAACGGGGAAAAUCCAAUGACAUCCAAAAGAAGAUCCACAAGUCCCAUUCAGAUAAACGAGGGCCCUUUUCAUAGCUCGUCUGAAUCUAAACGACAUCGUAUCCAAGACAGCAAUCAACCGCUUAGGAAAUCUCCAGUGCCAGAUAGGAAAAUGGCAAGCCCUUUCCAGAAAAAUGAUAAUAGUUCUCGCAGUGUGCCCCAGGGGAAACCAUUGCUUGUCAUUCCCGAUGUGAAACCGAGAGUAUCUCAACCUUUGAAGAUUAUAGAAUCUGGUCCUAAAAUCUCAAGUGCUUCUGAUUCUCAGGUCGGUGGAUCAGGGUUUCCUCAUGUUACUAGUAUGACAAAGUUAAAAGCAGAUAAAAGUCACAGAACGCCGGAGAAGGAAGCUUCGGAACUUCAGCCUAAAGGAACAAAAAGGAAGUUUGAGCAGAAAGAGCAUAGAGAGCUGAUACCAUUGAUAGGUAGUUACUCUUCAGCGAGCAUGGUACGCUGCCAGACGUCCUGUGUCAUAUCUAGUCAACACAAGAGAAAGCUGAGAACAAUUAUUUCGUGUCCUACAAAUGAUCAACUUUUUGCAAGCAGUGCGUUGGACGGGCUUGUCAACUUAUGGCAGGUACAUGGCAGAGGGUCAACUGCUAAUCUUCUUAGUUCCACUGAUUGCUUAUCGUCCAAGCAUAGGAGAUGGCCA
rnacentral:misc_RNA from 1 species